rnacentral:rRNA from 1 species
AGUGAACGCUGGCGGUAGGCCUAACACAUGCAAGUCGAACGGCAGCACAGUAAGAGCUUGCUCUUACGGGUGGCGAGUGGCGGACGGGUGAGGAAUACAUCGGAAUCUACUUUUUCGUGGGUGAUAACGUAGGGAAACUUACGCUAAUACCGCAUACGACCUACGGGUGAAAGCAGGGGAGCUUCGGACCUUGCGCGAUUGAAUGAGCCGAUGUCGGAUUAGCUAGUUGGCGGGGUAAAGGCCCACCAAGGCGACGAUCCGUAGCUGGUCUGAGAGGAUGAUCAGCCACACUGGAACUGAGACACGGUCCAGACUCCUACGGGAGGCAGCAGUAGGGAAUAUUGGACAAUGGGCGCAAGCCUGAUCCAGCAAUACCGCGUGGGUGAAGAAGGCCUUCGGGUUGUAAAGCCCUUUUGUUGGGAAAGAAAAGCAGCAGGUUAAUACCCCGAUGUUCUGACGGUACCCAAAGAAUAAGCACCGGCUAACUUCGUG